GUCCUGGUGGCCGAGUGACUACGCACCGCGCAGCAGACGCGGAGGACCCCGGUUUGAAUCCGGGCCAGGGCU
rnacentral:tRNA from 1 species